CGUGGCUUUGGCGUUUGGACAUUUUUGUAAUGCUUUGUAAUAAGGUAGGUGAGGUAUCUAUAUCCCUAAUUGUAAUAACCUUUUUUGAAUGAAUUACAAUUUAAUUAUUUAAAUAAUAAAGUGGUCUACAAAAAUACACAUCCGCUCAGUCCGCUAAAAUAAUUUAAGUGCUCUACAUAAUAUUAAGUAGGUAUAUUUAAGAUUAACAAUCAGUAAAGAUCAUUAAUUACGCUCAAAUGCUUAUGUUUCAGUACAAAUUGGGUGAGAUAUUUCCGACAUAAAACCUAAAGGUAAAAGUACAAUUUGCUAAGUACGUAAACUGUCAAUCUACAUUAAUUAUAAUUAGAGAUGGACUCUUAGAAGUCAGCCUACUGAAGAUUAUGAACAACAUAUAGGUACCUACUUUCUUAAUAAAAUACAAUUUGGUUUUCUAUGACUUAUGUAGGCCUUAUUUUACUAUAGACCAUUUUAAAUUGAAGAUGAAAUUAAUUCAUGAUAAAAGGUAAUAAGGCCCGGUAAUAUUCUCUGUUAUUAUUGAACUUGUACUAUGACUAAGAAGGCCCACUGUCAGUGCAAGUAACAAGGCCCGGUUCCGAACCAACAUGGUAUGGUUUUUUUUAUAAAACGUGUAUUUUUCAAAAGCGCCGGAAUAUUUUUAUAACUAUUUUGGUAUAUGAAGAAACAUGAACAAAUGAGAAACCUAUAUUGAAAUGAAUUGGUAAUAAUAUCCUGAUUAUUUAUAAAACUAUUUCAGUUAAAAUAAAGGUGGGCCUUAUAUGCCUCACCUGACCUUA